rnacentral:rRNA from 1 species
CUACGGGAGGCACCAGUGAGGAAUAUUGCACAAUGGGGGGAACCCUGAUGCAGCAACGCAGCGUGGAGGAUGACGCAUUUCGGUGUGUAAACUCCUUUUAUAUGUCAAGAAAAUGACGGUAGCAUAUGAAUAAGCACCGGCUAACUCCGUGCCAGCAGCCGCGGUAAUACGGAGGGUGCAAGCGUUACUCGGAAUCACUGGGCGUAAAGGACGCGUAGGCGGGUUGGAAAGUCAGGUGUGAAAUCCUACAGCUUAACUGUAGAACUGCACUUGAAACUUCUAAUCUAGAGUAUGGGAGGGGGAGAUGGAAUUAGUGGUGUAGGGGUAAAAUCCGUAGAUAUCACUAGGAAUACCUAAAGCGAAGGCGAUCUCCUGGAACAUUACUGACGCUAAGGCGUGAAAGCGUGGGGAGCACACAGGAUUAGAUACCCUAGUAGUC